rnacentral:rRNA from 1 species
GCACAAGCGGUGGAGCAUGUGGUUAAUUCGAUGCAACGCGAAGAACCUUACCUGGUCUUGACAUCCCGGAGACCCUUAGGAAACUAGGGGGUGCUUCCACCUGGAAGAAUCUGGAGACAGGUGCUGCAUGGCUGUCGUCAGCUCGUGUCGUGAGAUGUUGGGUUAAGUCCCGCAACGAGCGCAACCCUUGCCUUUAGUUGCCAGCAGUUCGGCUGGGCACUCUAAAGGGACUGCCGGUGUUAAACCGGAGGAAGGUGGGGAUGACGUCAAGUCCUCAUGGCCUUUAUGACCAGGGCUACACACGUACUACAAUGGCCGAUACAAAGGGCAGGCGACACUGGCGAGGUGAAGACCAAUCCCGUAAAAUCGGUCUCAGUCCGGAUUGGAGUCUGCAACUCGACUCCAUGAAGUUGGAAUCGCUAGUAAUCGUGGAUCAGCAUGCCACGGUGAAUACGUUCCCGGGCCUU